rnacentral:rRNA from 1 species
AUUGAACGCUGGCGGCAGGCUUAACACAUGCAAGUCGAGCGAGCGGCGGACGGGUGAGUAAUGUCUGGGGAUAUGCCCGAUAGAGGGGGAUAACUACUGGAAACGGUGGCUAAUACCGCAUACUAUCGGAUGAACCCAUAUGGGAUUAGCUAGUAGGUGGGGUAAAGGCUCACCUAGGCGACGAUCUCUAGCUGGUCUGAGAGGAUGAUCGGGCACACUUGGACUGAGACGCGGCCCAGACGCAUAGGGGAGACGGGAGUGGGGAAUAGUGGGCAAUUGGCGCAAGCCUGACGCAGCAAUGCCGCGUGAAGGAAGACGGUCUUCGGGUUGUAAACUGCUUUAGACAGGGACGCGGUACCUGUAGAAGAAGCCACGGCUAACUACGUGCCAGCAGCCGCGGUAAUAC